GACGAACGCUGGCGGCGUGCUUAAUACAUGCCAGUCGAACGGACAGGCCCUGCUUUUGUGGGGUGCUCGAGUGGCGAACGGGUGAGUAACACGUGAGUAACCUGCCCUUGACUUUGGGAUAACUUCAGGAAACUGGGGCUCAUACCGGAUAGGAGCUCUUGCUGCAUGGUGGGGGUUGGUAAGUUUCGGCGGUUGUGGAUGGACUCGAGGGUUAUCAGCUUGUUGGUGAGGUAGUGGCUUACCAGGGCUUUGAAGGGUAGCCGGCCUGGGAGGGUGACCGGCCACAUUGGGACUGAGGUACGGCCCAGACUCCUACGGGAGGCAGCAGUGGGGAGUAUUGCGCAAUGGGCGGAAGCGUGAGGCAGCAGCGCCGCGUGCGGAGUGACGGCCUUCGGGUUGUAAACCGAUUUCGACUUUGACGAAGCGUUAUUGACGGUAAUGGGUAAAGAAGCACCGGCUAACUACGUG
rnacentral:rRNA from 1 species